rnacentral:rRNA from 1 species
UACGUAGGGCGCAAGCGUUAUCCGGAAUUAUUGGGCGUAAAGAGCUCGUAGGCGGUUUGUCGCGUCUGCCGUGAAAGUCCGGGGGCUCAACUCCGGAUCUGCGGUGGGUACGGGCAGACUAGAGUGAUGUAGGGGAGACUGGAAUUCCUGGUGUAGCGGUGAAAUGCGCAGAUAUCAGGAGGAACACCGAUGGCGAAGGCAGAUCUCUGGGCCGUAACUGACGCUGAGGAGCGAAAGCAUGGGGAGCGAACAGG